AGUCUGCAACUCGACUCCAUGAAGUCGGAAUCGCUAGUAAUCGCAGAUCAGCAUUGCUGCGGUGAAUACGUUCCCGGGUCUUGUACACACCGCCCGUCACACCAUGGGAGUUGAUUGCACCAGAAGCAGGUAGCCUGACCGCAAGGGGGGGCGCCUACCACGGUGUGGUCAAU
rnacentral:rRNA from 1 species